AACACUUCUAAAUCCGUGUCGACAUUUCGUCAGACACCAGACAACCAGGACUGAUCAGACUCCCAAGAUAAGUGGAGUU
rnacentral:pre_miRNA from 1 species